AUUGAACGCUGGCGGCAGGCCUAACACAUGCAAGUCGAGCGAGCGGCGGAUGGGUGAGUAAUGUAUGGGGACUGCUCGUUAGAGGGGGAUAUCUAUCGUAAACGGUGGCUAAUAUCCCACAAUGCCGCAUAACCCCUAUGGGAUUAGCUAGUAGGUAAGGUAAUGGCUCACCUAGGCGACGAUCCCUAGCUGGUCUGAGAGGAUGAUCAGCCACACUGGAACUGAGACACGGCCCAGACUCCUACGGAGGCAGCAGUGGGGAAUAUUGCACAAUGGGCGCAAGCCUGAUGCAGCCAUGCCGCGUGUAUGAAGAAGGCCCUAGGGUUGUAAAGUACUUUCAGUCGGGAGGCGUUACCGACAGAAGAAGCACCGGCUAACUCCGUGCCAGCAGCCGCGGUAAUAC
rnacentral:rRNA from 1 species